rnacentral:rRNA from 1 species
AGUGAACGCUGGCGGCAGGCCUAACACAUGCAAGUCGAGCGGCAGCGCGGGGGCAACCCUGGCUGCGAGCGGCGGACGGGUGAGGAAUUCGUCGGAAUCUGCCUUUUUGUGGGGGAUAACGUAGGGAAACUUACGCUAAUACCGCAUACGUCCUACGGGCGAAAGGGGGGGACCGCAAGGCCUCACGCAGAAAGAUGAGCCGACGACCGAUUAGCUAGUUGGUGGGGUAAAGGCCCACCAAGGCGACGAUCGGUAGCUGGUCUGAGAGGAUGAUCAGCCACACUGGGACUGAGACACGGCCCAGACUCCUACGGGAGGCAGCAGUGGGGAAUAUUGGACAAUGGGCGCAAGCCUGAUCCAGCCAUGCCGCGUGUGUGAAGAAGGCCUUCGGGUUGUAAAGCACUUUUGUCCGGAAAGAAAUCCAUGGAGCUAAUACCUUCGGGGGAUGACGGUACCGGAAGAAUAAGCACCGGCUAACUUCGUG